UCGAAAUGGAAGCAGUAGUCAAUAGGAUAGGAAAAAAAAGGCGAACUUUGAAUCUUUAAUUUCAAGAUGAUAGAGAAAAAGGAAACAAGAAGUAAAGGGUUUUGGCGGAUUAAGUGCCUCAAGUAAAGAACCAUCAAUCGAAGAAGAUGCAGAAGAAUUUUCCAAAGUUGGUCCAUUUAAGAAGCAAGAAAUUUAUGAUGAAUUUUCCGGUCGUUUUUCAUAAAUAAAGAAAUUUGUUUCUACUUUGUUUUCAACAUUCACCGGCGAUAAGUGCAGAAAAGAGAAACAACAAGACAUCGAAGUGUAAUUCAAGACUGCCUAGAAGACAUUAGGAAAAAAAUUCAUUCCAUUGUCAUCAAUGUAUUAGGAAAAAUUUUCACUUAAAACUACGAAUAUUUGUAAAUUUUUUGUACUUAGCGUAGAUUAAUUCUGUAAAAUUGUAUCUAAAUUAAUUAGCUAGGGAUUUUAAAUUUAAAAAAUGUAAUUAUAUUAGCUAGGAGUUUAGCAAGAUAAGUUAUCAUAAGUUUCAAGAAAGCAACAAUUUCCAUCCCACCAACAGAUUAUCAACAUCCUGAGUCAACUUCAUGGCAAGAUUCUUCCAUUAAACAUGACAGCUCACCUCGUGCAAGGGGAAACGUUUUUUCCUCUAAUCGCCUUUUCGCCGAUAUCGAUUGCUCCCGAAUCUUGAACUUCGAGAGUGUAAAUACAUCCGGAAAAGCCGUCUCGAUAUCUUCCGUAUGUCAUUGCAAAGUCUGGAACACCUCCCAAGUAAACAUUGCCACGUGUGUUGAGAGUUUGCUGUAAACCAUCGCUCACACCACUUUCGUUUUGAACGAAACCUCGAUGUUGAAUCUCAAUUGGACGUCGGUUAAUGGGGCAAGAGCAAUGUAACUUUGUGGAGCUUGAUGGAAAUAUGGCACUACUCCAGUUACGACAAGAACAUUUGGAACCUCAAGUGUCUCAAGACCGUUGUCCGCCACACAAAUUUAGACAGAAUGUCUUUUUCAAGUUCUUACUUCGUGUGGAUCAAUAUUCGAUGGCAUUUGUCCUUCAAGUUUCUUCCAAUGGAAUUUCACUGGGGUAUCUAAAUUGUGACUGCAGUUCAUUUCAAUAUCUGAUCCAUACGGAGCUGACACAGUUUCAGUUGCUGGAGCAUCGGCAGUACCACCUGGUUUAAAUAAAAAAACAUGGUUAUCAUCAAAUUAAAAUGGCUGUGACGCUCCACGGGAAGAGACCAUGAGUGACUGAAUACAACACAGUCUGACGAGAGAGAUCGAAAUGGAACCAGUAGUCAAUAGGAUAGGAAGAAAAAAGGCGAACUUUGGAUCUUUAAUUUCAAGAUGAUAGAGAAAAAGGAAGCAAGAAGUAAAGGAUUUUGGCGGAUUAAGUGUCUCAAGUAAAGAACCAUCAAUCGAAGAAGAUGCAGAAGAAUUUUCCAAAGUUGGUCCAUUUAAGAAGCAAGAAAUUUAUGAUGAAUUUUCCGGUCGUCUUUCAUAAAUAAAGAUAUUUUUUAUUUUAUUUUCAACAAUCACCGGAGAGAUAAAACGAAAGCAGAAAUUAACAAGAUGUCAAACAAUAAUUCAAAAUCUCUUCAAGAGGCAUCUAUCUCAACAUCCAGCGUCACCUUAUGGCAAAAUUCUCCAAUUGAAUGUGAAAGAGAUGAUUUCAACAUAUUCUUCUUAAGAAGAGGAAGAGAAGAUGAAUAUUAUUAUGUUAUAUAUUAUUUUAAAAAUGUAAUUCAAAAAUUAACGGCGACUUUUUGUUGUAUAAUUAGUAUUUUGCUAUUAUUAUUAUUAUUGUACUGCGAUCUAAAAAUUAUGUAAUAUUGUUUAGAUAGAAAUUGUGAUUUGUAUGUAUUAAAUAAAUAAGGAAAAAAUAGUGACCGAAGAGGACAAGAGAGAAGUGGAAGGAAUCGUACAAGGAACGAAGACAGAAAUAUCUUCGAUCGAACAGGAAUGGUAUUUACUUUUUGGCGUCAACUCACGCAACAUUCUACCAUCUGAAGAGGAGGGGAACCACCUGAAAUGCAGAGGGAUGGUUCAAGUCUGAUGCUACCUUUGGAUCGACAACAGUUAUUUUGCGUUAAUUUAAGAAGAAUUACAAAAAAAAUGUACUUUUUUUAAGAAGUAAAAUAAAAGUUUUUUCUAAAAUAAAAUUUUUA